UGCAGAAUUAAAAAUGUAUAAGAUUACUUUAAAUAGAAAGUGAAAAGUAAAAAAAGAUAGUUACUGAAGUUAAAAACAAAUUUUUGAAAAAAUUGGAGAUGCAAGAUAAAACACUCAUAAAAGAAAUACAAAAUAAAGAGAUUGGGCUUGGGCCUAGUGCGUGAAGACCAAGCUAAUAAGGUCAGAAACUAGAAUGGGGGUUACUCCCUGUACCUCCCCAAUUUCAUCCCCACCCCCCAUUCCAUUUUUACCCUUUGCUCUAUUUUUUCUAUUCCAAUUUUAUCCUUUAGCAAAAAUUUAUAUUUAGAAAUAAAAUUUUAUGAUUUUAUUCUCUCACUCCCACAUAACCUAUUUAUUCUUUUUUUUUUUAUCUUCAUGCUUUCAUCUUUUCGCUUUCUUCUCAGGAAUUCUUUGUUCUAUUUUUUUAGAAAUUCUUUCUCCCAUUUUUCUUGUAUUUCAAGUGAUAAUUGAGAUAUCGAUUUCUCUUGGAAGAAUUUGUCCUUAAAUUAUUAUAUCUCUGCAUUGCAUUGGUGGUGUUGUAUCCAACCUUUAACCAGCGAUCCUCUUCGAGUCGAGGUUAGUAAUACUUUCGUAAAACCGCUAAACGGAUGGCGACUUCCGUUUAUCCUUAAACCGUUUACAGAUUCCCACAUCCGUUUAAGCGUUUUCUAGUUUAUUUUAGAUUAUGUUUUUUUAGUUUUAUUUUUUAAGAUUUGUUUUUAUUAGUUUUAUUUUUUAAGAUUUGUUUUUAUUAGUUUUAUUUUUUAAGAUUUGUUUUUAUUAGUUUUAUUUUUUAAGAUUUGUUUUUAUUAGUUUCAAUUUUUUAGGAUUUGUUUUUAUUAGUUUUAUUUUUUUAAGAUUUAUAUUUUAAGAUUUGUUUUUAUUAGUUUUAUUUUUUACUAUUUGUUUUAUUAGAUU
rnacentral:lncRNA from 1 species